UACAGAGGCCUCGAGCGUUAGGCGGAAUCACUGGGCUUAAAGCGUGUGUAGGCGGACUUCUAAGUACCUUGUGAAAUCCCACGGCUUACCCGUGGAACGGCUGGGUAUACUGGUUGUCUUGAGCCACUUAGGGGCUACCGGAACAAAUGGUGGAGCGGUGAAAUGCGUAGAUAUCGGGAGGAACACCUGUGGCGAAAGCGGCGCACUGGACCAUAACUGACGCUGAGGCGCGAAAGCUAGGGGAGCAAACAGG
rnacentral:rRNA from 1 species